AGAGGGACAGCUGGGUUAAAUGGUGGUUCCAUUCCCAGAUUUCCAAGGAAUCUCCAUACUGCUUUCCAUAUUGGCUGCACCAAUUUGCAGUCCCACCAGCUAU
rnacentral:pre_miRNA from 1 species